UACAGAGGUCUCAACCGUUGUUCGGAUUCAUUGGGCGUAAAGGGUGCGUAGGCGGCGGGGUAAGUCAGGUGUGAAAUCUCGGGGCUCAACCCCGAAACUGCACUUGAUACUGCCUCGCUUGAGUACUGGAGAGGAGACUGGAAUUUACGGUGUAGCAGUGAAAUGCGUAGAUAUCUGGAGGAACACCGGUGGCGAAGGCGCGAUUCUGGUCCGUUACUGACGCUGAGGCGCGAAAGCCAGGGGAGCAAACGGG
rnacentral:rRNA from 1 species